rnacentral:rRNA from 1 species
UUGAACGCUGGCGGCAUGCUUUACACAUGCAAGUCGAACGGUAACAGGUCUUCGGAUGCUGACGAGUGGCGAACGGGGUGAGUAAUGCAUCGGAACGUGCCCAGUCGUGGGGGAUAACGCAGCGAAAGCUGUGCUAAUACCGCAUACGAUCUAUGGAUGAAAGCGGGGGAUCGCAAGACCUCGCGCGAUUGGAGCGGCCGAUGUCAGAUUAGCUAGUUGGUGGGGUAAAGGCCCACCAAGGCGACGAUCUGUAGCUGGUCUGAGAGGACGACCAGCCACACUGGGACUGAGACACGGCCCAGACUCCUACGGGAGGCAGCAGUGGGGAAUUUUGGACAAUGGGGGAAACCCUGAUCCAGCAAUGCCGCGUGAGUGAAGAAGGCCUUCGGGUUGUAAAGCUCUUUUGUCAGGGAAGAAACACCGGCUCUAACACAGUCCGGGAAUGACGGUACCUGAAGAAUAAGCACCGGCUAACUACGUG